rnacentral:rRNA from 1 species
CCUACGGGAGGCAGCAGUGGGGAAUAUUGCACAAUGGGGGAAACCCUGAUGCAGCGACGCCGCGUGAGUGAAGAAGUAAUUCGUUAUGUAAAGCUCUAUCAGCAGGGAAGAAAAUGACGGUACCUGAGUAAGAAGCCCCGGCUAACUACGUGCCAGCAGCCGCGGUAAUACGUAGGGGGCAAGCGUUAUCCGGAAUUACUGGGCGUAAGGCGCUCGUAGGCGGGAUGUCAAGUCAAGGGUGAAAUCCUCGGGCUCAACGUGGGAACUGCCUUUGAAACUGGCAAACUGGAGUGUGUGAGAGGAUAGUGGAAUUCCAGGUGUAGGAGUGAAAUGCGUAGAUAUCAGGAAGAACAUCAGUGGCGAAGGCGACUAUCUGGCACAUAACUGACGCUGAGGAGCGAAAGCGUGGGUAGCAAACAGGAUUAGAUACCCCUGUAGUC